rnacentral:rRNA from 1 species
UACGUAGGGUGCGAGCGUUAAUCGGAAUUACUGGGCGUAAAGUGUGCGCAGGCGGUCGUGCAAGUCGCGUGUGAAAGCCCCCGGCUCAACUGGGGAGGGUCACGCGAUACUGUUCGACUCGAAGGCAGGAGAGGGAAGCAGAAUUCCCGGUGUAGCGGUGAAAUGCGCAGAUAUCGGGAAGAACACCCGUGGCGAAGGCGGCUCUCUCGGAAGCGCAACUGACGCUGAGAACGCGAAAGCGUGGGGAGCAAACAGG